CGGGUGUAGUUCAAUGGUAGAACACCAGCCUUCCAAGCUGGUCACGUGAGUUCGAUUCUCAUCACCC
rnacentral:tRNA from 1 species